AGCAUAUACAAACCAUCACAAUUGAGCAAAGGUGGUAAUGCUAUAGUCCAAGCACUUGGGAGGUGGAGAUAAGAAGAUCAGGUGUUCAAGAUCAACCUAUUCUACAUAGCCAGCCUACGUUGUUCUUCCAAUGGGGUUGUAAUGCCCCUCUGCUCCUCCUGUCUUUCUGCCAGAUCCCCAACCAGAUUCCCUGUGCUCGGUCUGAUGCUUGGCUCAAGUCUGCUGUGGCAUCCACAUCUGCUUUGAUGAAUCGGGAACUCAUCUUACAGAAGAUAUGCGGCUUUUGGGUGAUUCUGAUGGAAUUUGAUGGUUUGACAAUAUUGCUGACAGCAAGUUAUCCCCACUUGCUUUCCACUAGCAACUCUCUGCUCCCACCUUUAUGAUCCAGUGACAUCUCCCUGAUGUUUCCUUCAAACCAAGGUUUGCAGCAAUGGCCCCACCAUCCUGCUGUAAAACCAGGCAUGAUUCCACAAGCCUGUAAGUCCAGUACUUCAGCACUAAGAUGAGAGUCAUAAGUGAACUGGCCAGUUAACUCACACAAAGCUGAGUCCAGCAAUAAAAGGCUGUCUCAAACAAGGUGGAAGGUAAGCAACAACACCCAAGGUUGUCUUCUGACCUCCAUGCAUGCACCAUAUAUGGACAUAUUUGUACUCACAUGAACAUACA